GGAUGUGAGGGCGAUCUGGCUGCAACAGCUGUCACCCCCAUUGAUCACCAGAGUUGAUUUGGCUGAUCUGGCUGGCUAGGCGGGUGUCCCCUUCCUCCCUCACCACUCCACGUGUGUCCCUCCUGAGGCUGUGUACUCGGUCAAAGAGGAUGACCAUCCCCGAGAGAGGAGGACCGGUCUUCCGUCAAGGGUACACAAGUAGCCGUGUUCCCCUGCUAGAACCUCCAAACAAACUCUCAAGGUGCAAAGUGCAUUUCAGCUCAAAUGGUCAAUGCACUCUUUCAACAUUAGUGAAUCAGUUUCCUGGUUUUAU
ensembl:misc_RNA 7SK 7SK RNA